UACACCGAAUUCCGCCGUGCCUUAUUAAUGCAAGUCGAGCGGGACAGAAGGGAGCUUGCUCCCGGAUGUUAGCGGCGGACGGGUGAGUAACACGUGGGUAACCUGCCUGUAAGACUGGGAUAACUCCGGGAAACCGGAGCUAAUACCGGAUAGUUCCUUGAACCGCAUGGUUCAAGGAUGAAAGACGGUUUCGGCUGUCACUUACAGAUGGACCCGCGGCGCAUUAGCUAGUUGGUGGGGUAAUGGCUCACCAAGGCGACGAUGCGUAGCCGACCUGAGAGGGUGAUCGGCCACACUGGGACUGAGACACGGCCCAGACUCCUACGGGAGGCAGCAGUAGGGAAUCUUCCGCAAUGGACGAAAGUCUGACGGAGCAACGCCGCGUGAGUGAUGAAGGUUUUCGGAUCGUAAAGCUCUGUUGUUAGGGAAGAACAAGUGCGAGAGUAACUGCUCGCACCUUGACGGUACCUAACCAGAAAGCCACGGCUAACUACGUGCCAGCAGCCGCGGUAAUACGUAGGUGGCAAGCGUUGUCCGGAAUUAUGUGGGCGUAAAGGGGCUCGCAGGCGGUUUCUUAAGUCUGAUGUGAAAGCCCCCGGCUCAACCGGGGAGGGUCAUUUGGAAACUGGGAAACUUUGAGUGCAGAAGAGGAGAGUGGAAUUCCACGUGUAGCGGGUGAAAUGCGUAGAGAUGUGGAGGAACACCAGUGGCGAAGGCGACUCUCUGGUCUGUAACUUGACGCUGAGGAGCGAAAGCGUGGGGAGCGAACAGGAUUUAGAUACCCUGGUAGUCCACGCCGUAAAACGAUUGAGUGCUAAGUGUUAGGGGGGUUUCGCCCCUUUAUUGCUGCAGCUGAACGCAUUAAUCACUCGGCUGGGGAGUGUGGGCGCAGAGUGAAACUUAUAAGGAUUUAACGGGCGCCCGCACAAUCGGUUGGAGCAUGUGUGUUUAUUUCUAAGCAUGCGCGAAAACCUUUACCCAGGCUGUGGCCAUCCUCCUGACGAACCCCAAGUGAUUGGGUUGUCUCCUUUCGGGACAGGAUGACACGGGUGUUGCAUGUUGGUCGUCCCCUCUCUGUCUGGAGAUGUU
rnacentral:rRNA from 1 species